UGCUUAACACAUGCAAGUCGAACGGAAAGGCUCCUUGCUUGCAAGGGGUACUCGAGUGGCGAACGGGUGAGUAACACGUGGGUGAUCUGCCUUGCACUUCGGGAUAAGCCUGGGAAACUGGGUCUAAUGCCGGAUAGGACCAUGCUUUAGUGUGUGUGGUGGAAAGUUUUUUCGGUGCAAGAUGAGCCCGCGGCCUAUCAGCUUGUUGGUGGGGUAAUGGCCUACCAAGGCGACGACGGGUAGCCGGCCUGAGAGGGUGUACGGCCACAUUGGGACUGAGACACGGCCCAGACUCCUACGGGAGGCAGCAGUGGGGAAUAUUGCACAAUGGGCGCAAGCCUGAUGCAGCGACGCCGCGUGGGGGAUGACGGCCUUCGGGUUGUAAACUCCUUUCGCUAGGGAAGAAGCCACUGUGUGGUGACGGUACCUGGAUAAGAAGCACCAGCUAACUACGUGCCAGCAGCCGCGGUAAUACGUAGGGUGCGAGCGUUGUCCGGAAUUACUGGGCGUAAAGAGCUCGUAGGUGGUUUGUCGCGUCGUCUGUGAAAUCCCGGGGCUUAACUUCGGGCGUGCAGGCGAUACGGGCAUAACUAGAGUGCUGUAGGGGAGACUGGAAUUCCUGGUGUAGCGGUGAAAUGCGCAGAUAUCAGGAGGAACACCGAUGGCGAAGGCAGGUCUCUGGGCAGUUACUGACGCUGAGGAGCGAAAGCAUGGGUAGCGAACAGGAUUA
rnacentral:rRNA from 1 species